UGGAGAAUACACAAGAAGACCACCGGUGGAAGCCAGGACACCAGCUCGGAGGCUGCUGUGGUCGCCCCUGCAGGGGAAUUAACAGCAGAGGCUUGAGCAGCCACCUUGAACCAUGACGUGUGAAUACACACCAAGGAGGUCAAAGCAACAGCUCCAGCCACACACCAACCUGUGACUGUCUACCCACACUUGUUUAUAAUAUAGAAAUAUGCUUCUGUCUUUCUGAGCCUCUGUGUUUGGUGUUCACAUUGUUAUAGUUGCCGAACUUUAAACCUAACACAAAUUCUUUUAGCUGUUCCAAGCACAAAGGACUAACACCAAAUGUUACCACUUCCAUGAAGCCAGGACAGUAUUCGACCGGAAAAGAUUUAAGUCCAGCCUGCCUCUGCUUGUUUGCUCUCAAAAUAUCCCAACAGUAUUUGAGCUUCAAUGCCCUGAGCCACGGCAUAAGAGGCUGAAAUCUAGAGUCAACUGCUGGUUAUGGAACUAAUGUUUACUUAAUAAUCCAUUGCUUCUCUUUUGAACAGAUGCUCAAUUCAACAUCACAUCAGGAAGAGGUCUUGGGCAGACACAUUAUGUUAUGUGCCUUUGUGGCAAAAAACAGCAUCACCCACAAGUUUCUAAUUCUCCACACAACCCAGUCCUCAUGUCCUGAUUGAUCAAUGAGCCAAGUGUGUGAUGACGGAGCCCCCUCACCAAAGGCAAGAGGCAAGAUUAAGUUCUAGGCUGGCACCGAACAAAAACAUAUACUUUAAUCAAAGGCAUAUCGGAGCUGUGUGGGAGUCUAAUAAAGUACCACUGAAUAUACAAGGGAUUGAGCUGAAACCUGGAUAGCCUCAGAGAUGCAGCCAACCUUGUAGCACUGGCCACCAAGCCUCACAGGGACUUAUCAAGACCAAGAGAUAUAAAAAGUACAAGUGAAGAGUCAGUGGAAUGUUAUGGCAAAAAUUGUUGAGUGGGGGUCAAAGGGGACGGCUGACACACUCUGGGAAAUCACACAUCCCUUCAGUGAAACACCCUGAAGUCUGAGAAGAUCUGGUUCAAGUAAUUGCAUUUCCUCCAAAUGGGCCAUUUGUAAUCAUUUCUCUAGGCAACGAGAGCAUUAGGCUAACUGUCAAGUAGUGGCAUUAUGGUUAAUGAAGUUCAGAGGAAAGGGGUCAUAAACUGAGAUCACUGAAGAGCAAAUAUUAUUGAGCAUCUCAAGUCAGACAAGACACUGUCUCCGUCCUUUAGAUGCUCAGGGUCCGGUGUGGAAGAUGAACUAAACAGCCACUACAGCAGGGUGCUUGGGGCCAGAAGGAAAGAAACACAAACUGGAAAGACCAACAGCAGGGGACUCAUGUCUAAUGUGGGGACUGGGGAACAGCACAGCCCUUCCUGAAAGAGGUGACAGGUAAACUGGGGCCAGAAGCAUUUGGAGGGUUCACUUCCUACAAUAAUAGAACGGGGAUGAUACCAGCCUAGAAAAAUACCCCUAUAAAGUGGGCUUGGUAAUUGCCUAUUUAACUUUAGGUAAAAUAUGGCUAAUAUCCUGUAUUAUGUAAUCAAAGAUUUACUCUGUUGCUACAAUCCAUAUGAACAAUAGGUCAUUACAUACAUUUUAGAAGAAAGGCAGAACAUUUGUAAAAAAAAAUGAAACAGAAGAAGUUGAUGUAUUGGUGAAUUUGUAUCAUUCAGAGAAUCGAGACUCCUGAAGGGAACUAGUUUCAGCCUGUCAUCAGGAAUAUGCCCAGUCGGCCCAGGCAGAUGGACUGAGAACUGCCACUGCUCUCCGGUGGACUUGGAGUCCAGAGGAGGGCUGCUUCUGCCACCCCUGCAACCCGUGACAAUCUCCGUGGGGCCAUGUGCCCUUCUCAGCCCAUCUCUUCUCCUGAAAAUAAGAUGUUGGGUGGAAAUGGCACUUUCCAAAAACAUUUUUUAUUACAAUCCACAGUGAAAAUUGGCACUUCACCUGCUGAUCUGAAAUAAUACUUGUUUUUAUUAACUUUAAUACACUUACUAGUUUUUAUAUGAUCUUAAUCCAUGUCUUUAAAAUAGAAAUGCUGGUUAGACCCACUAAAUGAAGUUUAUAUCCUACAGUUUGUGGCCUGUAGUCUGAGCAGUUCCAGGCUAGAGCAGUGUCUAAGGGCCCCUUCAGCUCCGAUUCCGGGAGUUGUCCACAUGCUCAUCUAAUACACAGCAUUUCACAGUUUUCCUGGUGAUUCCACAGGGGCUAUCACCCAUGAUCCUCACAGUGGCAGGAUGACACAGGUUGAGGAGUUCGUGGGACUCAUCACAGAUCAAGAGUGACAAAGCUGGGACCCGAUUCUGUCAUUGCUCAACAUCAGCCAGGCAUGGCCUGUUCAGUGGCUCUUCCUCUUUCAGAGAAGCCCACCUCCUGAUGACCCUCUGCCCUCCAGCUUCAUAUUAAAUGUCUCUCCUGAUCUGUCAGUAGUGGUAUGCAGCCCUGACCAGUGUGGCUCGGUGGGCUGGGCGUCAUCCCAUAAACCAAAAGGUUAUAGUUUGAUCCCUGGUUGGAGCUCAUGCCUAGGCUGCAGGUUCAAACCCAUCUGGGGUGCAUAUGAGGGGGAACUGAUCGAUGUAUCUCUUUCACAUCAGUGUUUCUUUUAUUUUCUUUUUUAAAGUAUAUAUUUUAUUCAUUUUUCAAAAAUUUUGUCAGAAAGUUUGGAACAGAUCUGGUUAAUGGAUGUGAUAUUUUUGCACAAUCAAUUGGAAUGACCCUGGCACCUUAUAAAGAGAUAAGUUCCCUAAAAUGGCUAAAAUGCAAGCAAGUGGGAAAAUUCCAGAAUUGACUAGAGCACCUGAAUCAGUCUUGGUCCCCCUGGAUCACAGUAAGACUUAUAUACCUUAUAAAUCUGUUCCUGAAUAACUUACACAAUUAUGCAGUAGCAGUAAAAAAAAAAUUGAAAGUAGAAAAAAUAGCCUUUUUCAUCCUUAUGAUGAAAUAUAUCUACCUAAAACGCACACGUUUGUCAUCUUGUAGCACUUGCAUUGAACAGAAGAAAGAAUUGUAAGACAUAUUGUCUAGCAUAAAAUAUGUCUAGAUUCUUAAGUUUGAUUUCCCCCCUUCUUUUGUUACAGGUUUUUUCAUUCCAGCAAAAGGUGCAAAAGAGAAAGAGAUAAACUGUCAGUUCAUUUUACUCCAUGUUCAAUCUAGUCAAAAGUACACAGAAAUUUAAAGACCACAAAACUUUUUAGAUACCAUGGGGUUUUAAGUCAUUGUUGCAUUUCCUGUUCUCAACGACUUUGUGUGUACAUCAAUGUUUCUUUCCCGCUUUCUCUCUCUCCCUCCCCUUCUCUCUAAAGUCAAUGAGCAUGUCUUCAAUGAGGAUUAAACAAAAAGUGGGAUGCAAAUCUAGUGACCAU